rfam:Treponema pedis str. T A4, complete genome.
AAAACGCUGCCCGAGUUUGCCCUUCGGCAAACAUCGUAUUAUUGUGUGCCGUUUCUCACUUCGUUGCGAAACGGCGGAAAAUAAACAAUCCUCAAAAUCUGAAGGUUUUUCCGGUUGUUUAUUUUAUAU